GAUGAACGCUGGCGGCGUGCCUAAUACAUGCAAGUCGAGCGAACGGACGAGAAGCUUGCUUUUCUGAUGUUAGCGGCGGACGGGUGAGUAACACGUGGAUAACCUACCUAUAAGACUGGGAUAACUUCGGGAAACCGGAGCUAAUACCGGAUAAUAUUUUGAACCGCAUGGUUCAAAAGUGAAAGACGGUCUUGCUGUCACUUAUAGAUGGAUCCGCGCUGCAUUAGCUAGUUGGUAAGGUAACGGCUUACCAAGGCAACGAUGCAUAGCCGACCUGAGAGGGUGAUCGGCCACACUGGAACUGAGACACGGUCCAGACUCCUACGGGAGGCAGCAGUAGGGAAUCUUCCGCAAUGGGCGAAAGCCUGACGGAGCAACGCCGCGUGAGUGAUGAAGGUCUUCGGAUCGUAAAACUCUGUUAUUAGGGAAGAACAUAUGUGUAAGUAACUGUGCACAUCUUGACGGUACCUAAUCAGAAAGCCACGGCUAACUACGUGCCAGCAGCCGCGGUAAUACGUAGGUGGCAAGCGUUAUCCGGAAUUAUUGGGCGUAAAGCGCGCGUAGGCGGUUUUUUAAGUCUGAUGUGAAAGCCCACGGCUCAACCGUGGAGGGUCAUUGGAAACUGGAAAACUUGAGUGCAGAAGAGGAAAGUGGAAUUCCAUGUGUAGCGGUGAAAUACGCAGAGAUAUGGAGGAACACCAGUGGCGAAGGCGACUUUCUGGUCUGUAACUGACGCUGAUGUGCGAAAGCGUGGGGAUCAAACAGGAUUAGAUACCCUGGUAGUCCACGCCGUAAACGAUGAGUGCUAAGUGUUAGGGGGUUUCCGCCCCUUAGUGCUGCAGCUAACGCAUUAAGCACUCCGCCUGGGGAGUACGACCGCAAGGUUGAAACUCAAAGGAAUUGAUGGGGACCCGCACAAGCGGUGGAGCAUGUGGUUUAAUUCGAAGCAACGCGAAGAACCUUACCAAAUCUUGACAUCCUUUGACAACUCUAGAGAUAGAGCCUUCCCCUUCGGGGGACAAAGUGACAGGUGGUGCAUGGUUGUCGUCAGCUCGUGUCGUGAGAUGUUGGGUUAAGUCCCGCAACGAGCGCAACCCUUAAGCUUAGUUGCCAUCAUUAAGUUGGGCACUCUAAGUUGACUGCCGGUGACAAACCGGAGGAAGGUGGGGAUGACGUCAAAUCAUCAUGCCCCUUAUGAUUUGGGCUACACACGUGCUACAAUGGACAAUACAAAGGGCAGCGAAACCGCGAGGUCAAGCAAAUCCCAUAAAGUUGUUCUCAGUUCGGAUUGUAGUCUGCAACUCGACUACAUGAAGCUGGAAUCGCUAGUAAUCGUAGAUCAGCAUGCUACGGUGAAUACGUUCCCGGGUCU
rnacentral:rRNA from 1 species